GUAGGUGGCAAGCGUUGUCCGGAAUUAUUGGGCGUAAAGCGCGCGCAGGCGGUUCUUUAAGUCUGAUGUGAAAGCCCACGGCUCAACCGUGGAGGGUCAUUGGAAACUGGAGAACUUGAGUACAGAAGAGGAAAGCGGAAUUCCACGUGUAGCGGUGAAAUGCGUAGAGAUGUGGAGGAACACCAGUGGCGAAGGCGGCUUUCUGGUCUGUAACUGACGCUGAGGCGCGAAAGCGUGGGGAGCAAACAGGAUUAGAUACCCUGGUAGUCCACGCCGUAAACGAUGAGUGCUAAGUGUUAGGGGGUUUCCGCCCCCCUUAGUGCUGCAGCUAACGCAUUAAGCACUCCGCCUGGGAGUACGGCCGCAAGGUUG
rnacentral:rRNA from 1 species